CAUAUACUCCCUUCGUCCGGAAAUAUUUGUUAGAGAAAUGCAUAAAAAUGGGUAUAUCUAGAAUUAAAAUACGUCUAGAUACAUCCAUUCCUCCGACAAGUAUUUCCGGACGAAGGGAGUAUAAG
rfam:Triticum aestivum genome assembly, contig: Triticum_aestivum_CS42_TGACv1_scaffold_327822_4BS